rnacentral:sRNA from 1 species
ACGUAGUAUUAAUGGCGAGACUCCUGAGGGAGCAGUGCCAGUCGAAGACCGAGGCUGAGACGGCACCCUAGGAAAGCGAAGCCAUUCAAUACGAAGUAUUGUAUAAAUAGAGAACAGCAG